ACGACUCCCGGCAACGGA
rnacentral:rRNA from 1 species